GGAGAGGUGGCCGAGUGGUUGAAGGCGCACGCUUGGAAAGCGUGUAAACUGUUAAAGGUUUCGAGGGUUCGAAUCCCUCUCUCUCCG
rnacentral:tRNA from 1 species